GGAAUAUGAUUGUCUUUCUGGGAUAAUUAUAAAGUAUCUAUCUUCUCAACAAGUCAUUAUACUGUUUUUUUUUUCUUUAUGUCAUUUUUUUUUCUUUAUGUCAUUUCUGUUGCAUUGCAACAAGCAAUAGCAAAAACUGCAAUAUUCUUUCAGCCCCACCUCUGGCUAUGUGGUUGGCUUUCAUCUCGGGUAUAUUUAUCUUCAUUCAUAAACUCGAACCCUUCUUGCUCUUGUCCCCUGUUCUAAGCACAACUUAGGUAAAAUCUCUACAUAAAUAUUGUGUUUUCUAGUUCAGAGUGGAUUAAGUAUCCACUUACUCAGAUAUGCAGAUAAACAAAGCUUUUAGAUUACUUUCAUUAUGAUUCAUAUUAUUAUGAAUACAUUCAUAGCAUGCAUUUGUAUUAUUUUCAUUUAGAUUAUGUUAUUGUUACUUUCAAUAAGGCCUAUAUUCAUCUACAAGGAGAAUCCUGGGCAGGUUGGUCUCAGAGAUCUGAGCACAAUGCCAAAGGUCAUACCAUCAUUCUAAGUACAGCUGGAACUACCGCCAACACAUCUGCAUUUCAGGCAGGAAGCCAGAAGAGAGACAGGAAGGACAAAAAGACUUUGUCAAAAGUUCCAUCUGAUGAUUGCUCCUUAUUGAUCACACUUAUCUGCAAGGGAAGCAGGGAAAUGUAAUUUUUCAUCUCAAACAAUAAUCCCAGAUCCUGUCAGUAAGAAAGAAGAGAAAGGAUACUGGCUAAGUGCUGAGCCAUCACUGCCAUAACACACCUCUACCAAAUGGUCAUCCAGCUCUGGAUGAUCCCCUCCAGGGACAGGAAAAUUCGCCACAACCAGAAGCAAACCAAUUUAAGAGCCCGCUGCCUUUUUCCUAUGUCUACCUGAAAUCUGCUUUCAUGAUGCUCUUACCUAGUCACUAACUCUGCCCAUGGCACAGAUGAGAACAAAUAGCAUUCUUCUUCUUCUUCUACAUUUGCCUCUCAGUUGCCUGAAAACACACAUUUUUCCAAAACUUCAUAUUACUGUCCUUGUUAUUUUGUUUUAUUGUAUUUGUUUCACCAGACUCCAUCUGAAAAAGCCCAGAUUAAUCCUGCUCUGGAUUUACCUCCCUUUGCAAGUUCCUCUUAAGGUAUAAUCUCAAGUGUGAACAUGACACAUUCAAUCUAUCAACAAGCUGUCUGUUGUCCCAGAUCUAAGAAAGUGAUUGAAGGUUAGUUAGGAUAUUGAGUCAUAAUUAACAAGUCUGUAUGGAAAUAGUGACCUUAAUCCAGAACAGUUUCUAUAAAAUUGGGAUGCACUGACUCUACCUUUGCAUUUUAGCAUAAAUGGUCAUUUAGUCUCCUGAAGUGUGGAGCUAGCUAUAAAUAUACAGACAGAUACAAAUGAACAACACUCCAUAGCUACAGCAUAGUUACAUUACCAAGAAUAUAAUCCCAUGUCUUAGAAUGAGAAUAAUAUGAAUAGAAAGGCCAGAAAAAACUCUCUGUCAAACUAUUUUUACCUCCCGCUCUGUACCUCCCACUCUGGCUUAGUCCUCCCUUCCCCAAGCCUGGACCAGACUCUCAUUUUGCCAUAUGCUGCCUGGAGUUUGAGCAGUACACUUAUUUCUAGAUGACAUGGAAAUGGCACUCGAGAGGAACUAAGUGCCUCUGACUUACACGACUGAGUGAGAAUUUGGAGGGAAAGGGCCCCCAGAUGCAGAUGGAAGAGGCGCACACAUGCGGCUCAGCUGUAAUUGCUGGAAGGCUGGGUUUGCUGAGGAAUAGAGAUGCUGACAAUAGAUACCCACAUAAAAACCAGGAAUGUUAGACCUACCCAGCUUUUCAUCUCACUGAAGAGACAAAGUGGGAUAAUAUUCUCUACCAUAUGGCUGCCAUUGAUCAUUCUUCCAGAAAAACCCAGCCAGUCCCAUAAAUCCAAGUCAUCAGAGAAAACAGCAACUCUAUCCAUCUCAGUUCACCUGUAGUCCCCUGGCCACCUGAGGGAGGGGUUGGCAUUACUUGUUCAUAUUAUAAGGAAACUGAGGUGUUCAUCAAACCACUCAGAGACAAUAAAGAAGGUCUUGCCUAUCA
rnacentral:lncRNA from 1 species